UGAAAUUGACACCUUAACUUUGAGCUCCAAUAAUUCCUUCAUAAAAACUUUAAAUCACACAAAAUUUACACCCAAUCCGUAUCCAAAAACCUAAACUUGCUGAUCUUAGCCUCCAAAGCUCAAAUGACUUCAAAAAAAAAACCCUAAUCCUUAAUAAGGCCUCGGGCAGCCUCCUUGAAGCCCAUUGGGCAUGGCCUUUGACCAAUAGGAAUAAAGAUCUCCAUUCCUUGCCUUCAUUCAACCAUGCUUUGCUUUUAUCCCUCCCAAUAAGCCUUCUAUUAGUUAAGAAUUUCUUCUUUAGAUUCUUAUCUCCUC
rnacentral:lncRNA from 1 species